GACGAACGCUGGCGGCGUGCCUAAUACAUGCAAGUUGAGCGAUGAAGAUUGGUGCUUGCACCAAUUUGAAGAGCAGCGAACGGGUGAGUAACGCGUGGGGAAUCUGCCUUUGAGCGGGGGACAACAUUUGGAAACGAAUGCUAAUACCGCAUAACAACUUUAAACAUAAGUUUUAAGUUUGAAAGAUGCAAUUGCAUCACUCAAAGAUGAUCCCGCGUUGUAUUAGCUAGUUGGUGAGGUAAAGGCUCACCAAGGCGAUGAUACAUAGCCGACCUGAGAGGGUGAUCGGCAACAUUGGGACUGGGACACGGCCCAAACUCCUAGGGGAGGCAGCAGUAGGGAAUCUUCGGCAAUGAACGAAAGUCGAACGGAGCAACGCCGCGGGAGUGAAGAAGGUUUCGGAUCGUAAAACUCUGUUGGUAGAGAAGAACGUUGGUGAGAGUGGAAAGCUCAUCAAGUGACGGUAACUACCCAGAAAGGGACGGCUAACUACGUG
rnacentral:rRNA from 1 species